rnacentral:rRNA from 1 species
UGAACGCUAGCUACAGGCUUAACACAUGCAAGUCGAGGGGCAUCAGGAAGAAAGCUUGCUUUCUUUGCUGGCGACCGGCGCACGGGUGAGUAACACGUAUCCAACCUGCCCUUUACUCGGGGAUAGCCUUUCGAAAGAAAGAUUAAUACCCGAUGGCAUAAUGAUUCCGCAUGGUUUCAUUAUUAAAGGAUUCCGGUAAAGGAUGGGGAUGCGUUCCAUUAGGUUGUUGGUGAGGUAACGGCUCACCAAGCCUUCGAUGGAUAGGGGUUCUGAGAGGAAGGUCCCCCACAUUGGAACUGAGACACGGUCCAAACUCCUACGGGAGGCAGCAGUGAGGAAUAUUGGUCAAUGGGCGCUAGCCUGAACCAGCCAAGUAGCGUGAAGGAUGAAGGCUCUAUGGGUCGUAAACUUCUUUUAUAUAAGAAUAAAGUGCAGUAUGUAUACUGUUUUGUAUGUAUUAUAUGAAUAAGGAUCGGCUAACUCCGUGCCAGCAGCCGCGGUAAUACGGAGGAUCCGAGCGUUAUCCGGAUUUAUUGGGUUUAAAGGGAGCGUAGGUGGACUGGUAAGUCAGUUGUGAAAGUUUGCGGCUCAACCGUAAAAUUGCAGUUGAUACUGUCAGUCUUGAGUACAGUAGAGGUGGGCGGAAUUCGUGGUGUAGCGGUGAAAUGCUUAGAUAUCACGAAGAACUCCGAUUGCGAAGGCAGCUCACUGGACUGCAACUGACACUGAUGCUCGAAAGUGUGGGUAUCAAACAGGAUUAGAUACCCUGGUAGUCCACACAGUAAACGAUGAAUACUCGCUGUUUGCGAUAUACAGUAAGCGGCCAAGCGAAAGCAUUAAGUAUUCCACCUGGGGAGUACGCCGGCAACGGUGAAACUCAAAGGAAUUGACGGGGGCCCGCACAAGCGGAGGAACAUGUGGUUUAAUUCGAUGAUACGCGAGGAACCUUACCCGGGCUUAAAUUGCAGUGGAAUGAUGUGGAAACAUGUCAGUGAGCAAUCACCGCUGUGAAGGUGCUGCAUGGUUGUCGUCAGCUCGUGCCGUGAGGUGUCGGCUUAAGUGCCAUAACGAGCGCAACCCUUAUCUUUAGUUACUAACAGGUUAUGCUGAGGACUCUAGAGAGACUGCCGUCGUAAGAUGUGAGGAAGGUGGGGAUGACGUCAAAUCAGCACGGCCCUUACGUCCGGGGCUACACACGUGUUACAAUGGGGGGUACAGAAGGCAGCUAGCGGGUGACCGUAUGCUAAUCCCAAAAGCCUCUCUCAGUUCGGAUCGAAGUCUGCAACCCGACUUCGUGAAGCUGGAUUCGCUAGUAAUCGCGCAUCAGCCACGGCGCGGUGAAUACGUUCCCGGGCCUUGUACACACCGCCCGUCAAGCCGUGGGAGCCGGGGGUACCUGAAGUACGUAACCGCAAGGAUCGUCCUAGGGUAAAACUGGUGACUGGG